AGUGGCGGACUGGUGAGUAACGCGUGAGCAACCUGCCUACUAGAGGGGAAUAACAGUGAGAAAUCAUUGCUAAUACCGCAUAUGCCGUGAACAUCACAUGAUGAAAACGGGAAAAGAGAAAUCUGCUAGUAGAUGGGCUCGCGUCUGAUUAGAUAGUCGGUGGGGCAACGGCCUACCAAGUCUACGAUCAGUAGCCGGACUGAGAGGUUGAACGGCCACAUUGGGACUGAGAUACGGCCCAGACUCCUACGGGAGGCAGCAGUCGGGAAUAUUGCACAAUGGAGGAAACUCUGAUGCAGCGACGCCGCGUGAGGGAAGAAGGUUUUCGGAUUGUAAACCUCUGUCUUCAGGGACGAUAAUGACGGUACCUGAGGAGGAAGCUCCGGCUAACUACGUGCCAGCAGCCGCGGUAAUACGUAGGGAGCGAGCGUUGUCCGGAAUUACUGGGUGUAAAGGGAGCGCAGGCGGGAUGGUAAGUUAGGUGUGAAAACUAUGGGCUCAACCCAUAGACUGCACUUAAAACUGCUGUUCUUGAGUGAAGUAGAGGUUGGCGGAAUUCCUAGUGUAGCGGUGAAAUGCGUAGAUAUUAGGAGGAACAUCAGUGGCGAAGGCGGCCAACUGGGCUUUUACUGACGCUGAGGCUCGAAAGCGUGGGGAGCAAACAGGAUUAGAUACCCUGGUAGUCCACGCUGUAAACGAUGAUUACUAGGUGUGGGGGGAUUGACCCCUUCCGUGCCGCAGUUAACACAAUAAGUAAUCCACCUGGGGAGUACGGCCGCAAGGCUGAAACUCAAAGGAAUUGACGGGGGCCCGCACAAGCAGUGGAGUAUGUGGUUUAAUUCGAAGCAACGCGAAAAACCUUACCAGGUCUUGACAUCCUAGGAAUCCCUAAGAGAUUAGGGAGUGCCUUCGGGAACCUAGAGACAGGUGGUGCAUGGUUGUCGUCAGCUCGUGUCGUGAGAUGUUGGGUUAAGUCCCGCAACGAGCGCAACCCUUACCAUUAGUUGCUACGCAAGAGCACUCUAAUGGGACUGCCGUUGACAAAACGGAGGAAGGUGGGGAUGACGUCAAAUCAUCAUGCCCCUUAUGACCUGGGCUACACACGUACUACAAUGGCAAUUAACAGAGGGAAGCAAUACAGAGAUGAGGAGCAAAUCCCUAAAAAUUGUCUCAGUUCGGAUUGUAGGCUGCAACCCGCCUACAUGAAGUCGGAAUAGGUAGUAAUCGCAGAUCAGCAUGCUGCGGUGAA
rnacentral:rRNA from 1 species